AUUACUUGCGAACGAUAAAGUAGCCAAAAACAAAACAAACAAAAAAAGAAAAAAAUCGAUCUGUUUGGCUGAUCCGGAUAGAAGACGUGCACGCGCUGCUCAUUCUCCAGAGUAUCGGUUGUGCAGAAAAACCCCAGAGCCGGAAGUAACACACAUUCAAAAUCUGAUUAAAUGCUGUCUUUUUACAAUAAGAUAUUAAUUGCUCGUGUUUUCCUGAUAGUUUACUCACCCCCAUGUCGAUUAGUCAGCUGAUCUUGGAUGACAUGGGGGUGUGUUUUCAUUUGAAAGUGAACUAAUCCUUUAAUAUUACCAUUGUUGAUUGCACCAGUAUUUGACAAGCAGCUUUUUGAGACAAACACUGAAGUCAAGCAUAAGGACGUUCGUUGUGACAGUGAGACCUUCAGGCAGGCAGACAGAGCCAUGAUCAGAGCUAGAGUUCCACAGUUCCACAGUCGGGCGACGCUCUCCUCCUCCUACGAUGGAAGAAGUCUUACAGCGGCUUACCAAGGUUAGCAUCCACCAGAAGCAAAUUAUGGAGCAUCUGGCUACACGCCAAGGGGAGGCAGAGCGCUUCCUGACCCCCGUGUGCAGGCCACCCGGUCACGGCCCAAGAUGACUGUACAUGACAUGACAUAGAGGCCUACUUCCAAAUGUUUGAGUGCACACUUGAAAACAAAGCCCAUGGAUUUUGAUUGCGUCUCUCGCAUAGUCUGACAAAGGAGUAUAAUUUAAAAAUUGUGCAGUCAACUGAUUGUGAAAUGGAACUUUAUGCUGAUUUAUCCUACCUCUAUCAUUCAGCACAAAUCCAAAUAUUUCAUAAUGUUUUCAUAUUUGCAAUACAACAAUAAAGCAGACUUGACUAUUUGAAUACAUUUUGUAAAUUAAAGGUACUGUACUUCAGUCACGUUCCAGCAGUGACAUAGAUGCUGGCUGGGUGACUAUUUUGUUUUGAAAAAGUAGCAACGCUGGAACUGAAGUAAGUGUGUGUG